UCUACUUAAUCGAUAAUGACAAUGCAAAUCCAAUAAACUCUGGAUUCUGGAAGCUUCAUUGACGCUUGAAGUUUCAAAUCACCGAUUAAAUCUACUGCGAAACUCGAAUCCCUUUGAUCAUCUCUGCCGAUUCUAAAGGUUAGGAGCUCAAAAUCAUAGUAACAGUUAUUUCAAUGGAAGCUAAGGAAAUCAUAUUUUGCAUCCCCGCAAUGAGCGUUCAACCGAAACUCACACAACAAGAAACAAUUAUUUCAAUGGAAGCUAAAGAACAUAUGUUGCAUCCCCGCAAGGAACGUUAUGCCGAAACUCACACAACAAGAAACAGUUGUUUCAAUGGAAGCUAAAGAAAUCGUAUAUUGCAUCCCCGCAAUGAACGUUAUACCGAUACUCACACAACAAGGUGAGCAAGAUCAAGAAGAUCCACUGUUCAAGAGAUGUUUCCGAAACCUCCAAAACAAUGCACUCAACUCCACUCCUAUGAAACGCCCAAAAGUAGAAAAAGGAGAGUCCUCACGAGGCAACGCUCCUUGAAGAAUAAUGGCAUGGUAGCAAUCACUCUUAGAGUUCAUGUUAUGUUUAGACUUUGUUAACUUUAAAACUUUAUGUAAUAUGAUAUUUUAUGA